rnacentral:rRNA from 1 species
UGGGUUUGACAUGCACCAGACGCACUCAGAGAUGGGUGUUCCCUUGUGGUUGGUGUGCAGGUGGUGCAUGGCUGUCGUCAGCUCGUGUCGUGAGAUGUUGGGUUAAGUCCCGCAACGAGCGCAACCCUUGUUCCAUGUUGCCAGCACGUAAUGGUGGGGACUCAUGGGAGACUGCCGGGGUUCAACUCGGAGGAAGGUGGGGAUGACGUCAAGUCAUCAUGCCCCUUA